rnacentral:rRNA from 1 species
GGCAGCGCGUGGCAGGAUGCAGGGGUAAUACGUGUGGGGGGAGGGUUAAUCGUAAUUAUUGGGCGGGAAGGGGGCGUAGGCGUCUUCAGAAGUCAAAGGGGAAAUCCCUCGGCUCAACUGAGGAACAGCCUUUGAAACGGUGGAGCUUGAGGCCGGGAGGGGGUAGCGGAAUUCCCAGUGUAGCGGUGAAAUGCGUAGAUAUUGGGAGGAACACCAGUGGCGAAGGCGGCUACCUGGACCGGAACUGACGCUGAUGCGCGAAAGCGUGGGUAGCAAACAGGAUUCGAUACCCGAGUAGUC